ensembl:lncRNA
AUCAUUACUCCAGUCUUCAGUGUCACAUGAUCUUCAGAAAUCAUUCUAAUAUGAUGAUCUGCUGCUUAAGAAACAUUUCUGAUUAUUAUUAUCAGUGUUGAAAACUUCAUAUUUCAUACAUGUUGUUUUCAGGAUUCUUUGAUUAAUGGAAAAUUCCAAAGAAUCUUUUGUAGUGUUAAAUGUUGUCACUUUGAAUACAAAUGUUGUUCCUCUCAACUUUUGAACGGUAAUGUUUGAUGGUUUUCACAAAAAUAUUGGGCAGCAGAGCAACUGUUUUCAGCACUGAUAAAAAUCAGAAAUGUUUCUUGAGCAGCAAAUCAAUCAGCAUAUUAGAAUGAUUUCUGAAGGACACUGAAGACUGGAGUAAUGAUGCUGAAAAUUCAUCACUACAUGACUGGAAUAAAUUACAUUUUAAAUUCUACUCACAUGGAAUACAGUUAUUUUGAAUUGCAAUAAUAUUUAGCCAUUUUUACCAUAUUUUUAAUCAAAUAAAUGCAGCCUCAGUGAGCACUAAGAGACUUCUUUCAAAAAUGUAAAAAUGUAACCAUUCCAAAUUCUUGCCCGAUAGUGUAGUUUGGUAAAAGAAUACUUCACUUGAAAUGGCUGUCAGAAUUUCAAACCCAUAUGCCUUGCUUUCAUUGCAUUGAAAAGAGCAGCAUUACAUGUUUUCACAUAAAAGAGGAAGUAGUGAUUUGAAACAGCUUGUGGAUGACUAACUCCUGGAAUCCUGUAAGUGGCAUAUAUGAAAGCAUUUUUAGUUGCAUAAUAUUUCCAGUGUGAUUAGGAAAACUGUCCGUCAGGCUGCUGAUUAGUUGGAAAAACCAGCAGGGGAAGGAAAUGAACAAACUUACAAAAUUAAAUCUUUUUAUAGCUUCACUGAUCAGUUAGUCAGAAGACUGAACCUUUUAGUCAGACUUCCUAAUCACUGUUAACCGGGGACCAGCUGCAUAAAAGUCUAAAACAGCAUAAGAUUUUGUCUAACAAGUUAGUCAUCUUUUUUUUUUUUUUCCUUAAAGACUCAGGAUGUGAAUUAUGGGACUGUCUGAAACGGCUAAUUAAUGCUCGAACUAAUACGCAGUACCAUUUAGACGUUUGGGGAAGGGGCCGAUCUCAUCAUCAGUGUCAGGGGUCAGAAGGACAAGGAGGAAGGAGGCGGCGAUCACGCUGAGAGGAAAGAGAGAGAACAAACGAGAAAACAUGAUAGGAAUCUGACUGGAAGAGGGCCAGUGCCUCUAUUUUUGGCAUCUUAGAAAAUGAAGAAUGUACUUCUGACAGCAGGAUUAUUUUAGCUCUAAUAUGUAUUGUAUAUUGCAGUAAACAGAAGCUCACUGUGUCACUCACAGCAUACAGUCUUACAGUGAAUCAAGACACUUCAGCAUUUUGCUCUUAAUAUAUAAUAGUUUUUUGUGGCUUGCGAGAAAUAUUCCAUGAACGCAAUCUAGAUUUUUUCAUGGUAAAUUCAUGACUCAUUUUUAAUUUUAACACAUUCAUUACUUUUUAUUUCACAUUUUAUAUAUAUAUAUAUUUAUAUAUAGAUAUGCACUACUAUUUAGGGUCGGUAAGAUUUUAAAGUGUUUUUGAAAAGUCUCUUCUGCUCACCAAGGCUGCAUCAAUUUGGUUAAAAUACAAUAAGAAUUCUUGAAAUAUUAUUGUAAUUUAAAACAACUGUUUUCUGUGUGAAUCUCUGUUAAACUGUAAUUUAUUUCUGUGAUGUGCAGCUGUAUUUUCAGCAUCAUUACUCCAGUCUUCAGUGUCACAUGAUCUUCAGAAAUCAUUCGAAUAUGAUGAUUUGCUGCUCAAGAAACAUUUCUGAUUAUUAUCAAUGAUGAAAACAGUUGUGCUGCCCAAUAUUUUUGCGGAAAUUGUCUUACAUUUGAUAUUUGAUGAAUAGAAAGCUCGAAAUAACAGAAUUUAUUACUUUUGUAACACUAUGCAUUUCUUUACUGUCAGUUUUCUUCAGUUUAAUGUGUCCUUGCUAAAUAAAAAUAUUGAUUUAUUUUAAAAAUCUUACUGA